rnacentral:rRNA from 1 species
GAUAAACGCUAGCGGCAGGCUUAACACAUGCAAGUCGAGGGGCAGCAUAGAUUGUAGCAAUACAAUUGGUGGCGACCGGCGCACGGGUGCGUAACGCGUAUGCAACCUACCCGUCACAGGGGGAUAAUCCGGAGAAAUCUGGUCUAAUACCCCAUAACAUAUGGAUCGGCAUCGGUUCAUGUUGAAAUUUUCGGAGGUGACGGAUGGGCAUGCGUAGCAUUAGCUUGUUGGUGAGGUAACGGCUCACCAAGGCGACGAUGCUUAGGGGGACUGAGAGGUUUUCCCCCCACACUGGUACUGGGACACGGACCAGACCCCUACGGGAGGCAGCAGUGAGGAAUAUUGGUCAAUGGGCGCAAGCCUGAACCAGCCAUGCCGCGUGCAGGAGGACGGCUCUAUGAGUUGUAAACUGCUUUUGUACGAGGGUAAAGUGGGUUACGUGUAACCUUUUGAAAGUAUCGUACGAAUAAGGAUCGGCUAACUCCGUGCCAGCCGCCGCGGUAA